GAUGAACGCUGGCGGCGUGCCUAAUACAUGCAAGUCGAGCGAACGGACGAGGAGCUUGCUCUUCUGAUGUUAGCGGCGGACGGGUGAGUAACACGUGGAUAACCUACCUAUAAGACUGGGAUAACUUCGGGAAACCGGAGCUAAUACCGGAUAAUAUUUUGAACCGCAUGGUUCAAUAGUGAAAGACGGUCUUGCUGUCACUUAUAGAUGGAUCCGCGCUGCAUUAGCUAGUUGGUAAGGUAACGGCUUACCAAGGCAACGAUGCGUAGCCGACCUGAGAGGGUGAUAGGCCACACUGGAACUGAGACACGGUCCAGACUCCUACGGGAGGCAGCAGUAGGGAAUCUUCCGCAAUGGGCGAAAGCCUGACGGAGCAACGCCGCGUGAGUGAUGAAGGUCUUCGGAUCGUAAAACUCUGUUAUUAGGGAAGAACAAAUGUGUAAGUAACUGUGCACUUCUUGACGGUACCUAAUCAGAAAGCCACGGCUAACUACGUG
rnacentral:rRNA from 1 species